rnacentral:tRNA from 3 species
GCCGGGGUAGCUUAGCCUGGUCAGAGCGCUCGGCUCAUAGGGCCGCUCCCCUUCGGGGGAGCCUGAGAAACCGAGAGGUCCGGGGUUCAAAGCCCCGCCCCGGCACCA